rnacentral:rRNA from 1 species
AGCGAACGCUGGCGGCAGGCCUAACACAUGCAAGUCGAACGCCCCUUCGGGGGAGUGGCAGACGGGUGAGUAACGCGUGGGAACGUGCCCAUCGGUUCGGAACAACCCAGGGAAACUUGGGCUAAGACCGGAUACGUGCGAGAGCAGAAAGAUUUAUCGCCGAUGGAUCGGACCGCGUAUGAUUAGCUUGUUGGUGGGGUAACGGCCCACCAAGGCGACGAUCAGUAGGUGGUCUGAGAGGAUAAUCAGCCAGACGGGGACUGAGACACGGCCCAUACUCCUACGGGAGGCAGCAGUGUGGAAUAUUGGACAAUGGGCGCAAGCCUGAUCCAGCCAUGCCGCGUGAGUGAUGACGGCCCUAGGGUUGUAAAGCUCUUUCGCACGCGACGAUAAUGACGGUAGCGUGAGAAGAAGCCCCGGCUAACUUCGUGCCAGCCGCCGCCGUAACAC